GAUGAACGCUGGCGGCGUGCCUAAUACAUGCCAGUCGAGCGAACAGACGAGGAGCUUGCUCCUCUGACGUUAGCGGCGGACGGGUGAGUAACACGUGGAUAACCUACCUAUAAGACUGGGAUAACUUCGGGAAACCGGAGCUAAUACCGGAUAAUAUAUUGAACCGCAUGGUUCAAUAGUGAAAGACGGUUUUGCUGUCACUUAUAGAUGGAUCCGCGCCGCAUUAGCUAGUUGGUCAGGUAACGGCUUACCACGGCAACGAUGCGUAGCCGACCUGAGAGGGUGAUCGGCCACACUGGAACUGAGACACGGUCCAGACUCCUACGGGAGGCAGCAGUAGGGAAUCUUCCGCAAUGGGCGAAAGCUUGACGGAGCAACGCCGCGUGAGUGAUGAAGGUCUUCGGAUCGUAAAACUCUGUUAUUAGGGAAGAACAAAUGUGUAAGGAACUAUGCACGUCUUGACGGUACCUAAUCAGAAAGCCACGGCUAACUACGUG
rnacentral:rRNA from 1 species